GACGAACGCUGGCGGCGUGCCUAAUACAUGCAAGUCGAACGCUUUUUCUUUCACCGGAGCUUGCUCCACCGAAAGAAAAAGAGUGGCGAACGGGUGAGUAACACGUGGGUAACCUGCCCAUCAGAAGGGGAUAACACUUGGAAACAGGUGCUAAUACCGUAUAACACUAUUUUCCGCAUGGAAGAAAGUUGAAAGGCGCUUUUGCGUCACUGAUGGAUGGACCCGCGGUGCAUUAGCUAGUUGGUGAGGUCACGGCUCACAAAGGCAACGAUGGAGAGCCGACCUGAGAGGGUGAGCGGCCACACUGGGACUGGGACACGGCCCGGACUCCUAGGGGAGGUAGCAGUAGGGAAUCGUCGGGAAUUGACGAAAGUCUGACCGAGCAACGCCGCGUGAGUGAAGAAGGUUUUCGGAUCGUAAAACUCUGUUGUUAGAGAAGAACAAGGAUGAGAGUAAAACGUUCAUCCCUUGACGGUAUCUAACCAGAAAGCCACGGCUAACUACGUGCCAGCCGCCGCCGUAA
rnacentral:rRNA from 1 species